UACAGAGGGGGCAAGCGUUGUUCGGAAUUACUGGGCGUAAAGGGCGCGUAGGUGGCCUUCUAAGUCGAACGUGAAAUCCCUGGGCUCAACCCAGGAACUGCGUCCGAGACUGGGAGGCUUGAAUCCGGGAGAGGGAUGCGGAAUUCCAGGUGUAGCGGUGAAAUGCGUAGAUAUCUGGAGGAACACCGGUGGCGAAGGCGGCAUCCUGGACCGGGAUUGACACUGAGGCGCGAAAGCUAGGGGGAGCAAACGGG
rnacentral:rRNA from 1 species